rnacentral:tRNA from 1 species
UCCCUGGUGGUCCAGUGGCUAAGACUCUGCUCUUCCAGUGCAGGGGCCCAGGUUCAGUCUCUGGUCAGGGAA